CCUACGGGUGGCUGCAGUGAGGAAUCUUCCACAAUGGACGCAAGUCUGAUGGAGCGACACCGCGUGAAGGAAGAAGGUCUAACGAUUGUAAACUUCUUUUCUGAAGGAGCACAAAUGAGAGUACUUCAGGAAUAAGGGGCGGCUAAUCACGUGCCAGCAGCCGCGGUAAUACGUGAGCCCCGAGCGUUAUCCGGAAUUACUGAGCGUAAAGCGUUUGUAGGCGGCAUUGCAAAUCAGAUAUGAAAGACCGGAGCUCAACUCCGCGUAUUGUAUAUGAAACUGCAGAGCUAGAAUUAGGGAGAGGUAAGCGGAAUUUUUAGUGUAGGAGUGCAAUCCGUAGAUACUAAGAGGAACACCAAGAGCGAAGGCAGCUUACUGGAACUAUAUUGACGCUGAGAGACGAAAGCGUGGGUAGCGAAAAGGAUUAGAUACCCUGGUAGUC
rnacentral:rRNA from 1 species